UCUGGCGUCUUCGGCGUCCGAGUUGUAAUUUGUAGAGGAUGCUAUUGAGUUGUCACCGGUCUAAGUUCCUUGGAACAGGACGUCAUAGAGGGUGAGAAUCCCGUAUGUGACCGGCCAGACGCUCUCUGUAUAGCUCCUUCGACGAGUCGGGUUGUUUGGGAAUGCAGCCCUAAAUGGGAGGUAAAUUUCUUCUAAAGCUAAAUACCGGCCAGAGACCGAUAGCGCACAAGUAGAGUGAUCGAAAGAUGAAAAGCACUUUGGAAAGAGAGUUAAAAAGCACGUGAAAUUGUUGAAAGGGAAGCGCUUGCAAUCAGUCUCGACGGCGGCUGUUCGGCCUCUCUUCUGAGUGGUUUAUUCAGUCGCCGCCGGGCCAGCAUCAGUUCUGGCGGUCGGAUAAAGACGCAGGGAAUGUAGCUCCUCUCGGGGAGUGUUAUAGCCUCGCGUGCAAUACGGCCUGCCGGGACUGAGGUCCGCGCUUCGGCUAGGAUGCUGGCGAAAUGGUUGUAAGCGGCCCGUCUUGAAACACGGACCAAGGAGUCUAACAUCUAUGCGAGUGUUUGGGUGUCAAACCCGUACGCGUAAUGAAAGUGAACGGAGGUGGGAACCGCAAGGUGCACCAUCGACCGAUCCUGAUGUCUUCGGAUGGAUUUGAGUAAGAGCAUAGCUGUUGG
rnacentral:rRNA from 1 species